ensembl:lncRNA
GUGAGAUACAUUUCUCUAAGUGCAUCUUGUGGCUGCAAGUGGGAGAGGCAGGGCCUGAAUCUGGCCAAGAGAUCUCAGGACAAAGCUAAAUCGCAUUUCCAAAGCCAGUCCUUAGACUUGUUCAAGUGUAAGCAGCUUUCACUAAACAGAAGUUUGAUGAGCCGAGCAGGAGUGAAUCAGAAACACGAGGCUGAUGUUUGUCUUCAUCUGCAAGGGGGUUUGGCAGUCUCCAGGCUCCCUUGGCAAGCAGGAUUUGGGCGCUGCCAAAACCUGGAGCUCUGGCGUGAUAGCGUGACCCUUCCGGUCAGGCCAGGCCUCCCGCCCGCCUUCCUGCUGUUCAAAUCAGAGUCUCGGCCUCUCAUGGCCUCUCCUGCUGCUUCACCCUUGAGCCCCGAGGACAGAGUGGCAGGAGGCGUCUCUGUAACCACAUCACGUGUGGGGGAAAAAUGGCACAGAGCGCUCUUUCCUGGAGCGCGGUCAAUGCAGCAGUACCCCAGGUGCCAGGAAACCCAAGCCUUGGAAACUGUGGCUGCAGGUUCCAUCCCCAGGUUGUGGGUGUGGACCACAUUUGCACCAGCAGCUGGACAAAGACAUGGUUGUCCUGAAUCCACAGGGGAGGAUGGCGAACGACAGGAGUCCUCCCUGCUGCAAUCUUGAAGUGCACCCUCGUUUCAGAAGAGCAGCUCACUUCUCCAGACAAGAGUGCUGCUGAAUUUUAAAGAGGAUUCCACAUCUAUGCUAAAGGAACAUCAGAGGCGCCUUUGGACUGCUCAUGACUGGGGACUAAUUCUCGACCUGGAAGGAAGCAGGCACGAUGCUUC